GAGAGAUGUGGUGGAGCUCAGAGAGAGACGUGGUGGAGCUCAGAGAGAGACGUGGUGGAGCUCAGAGAGCUGGAGAGACAUGGUGGAGCUCAGAGAGCUGGAGAGAGACAUGGUGGAGCUCAGAGAGCUGGAGAGAGACAUGGUGGAGCUCAGAGAGCUGGAGAGAGACAUGGUGGAGCUCAGAGCUGGAGAGAGAUGGUGGAGCUCAGAGAGCUGGAGAGAGACAUGGUGGAGCUCAGAGAGAGACGUGAUGGAGCUCAGAGAGAGACGUGGUGGAGCUCAGAGAGACACGUGGUGGAGCUCAGAGAGAGACAUGGUGGAGCUCAGAGAGAGACAUGGUGGAGCUCAGAGAGAGACAUGGUGGAGCUGAGAG
ensembl:lncRNA